CUCAAUCCCGUGCGUCCACGUCUAGCUCCCUGCACCCCGCUCGCACGCGAACCCGCCUCUGCCCCCGCCGCCGCCGCCAGAGCGCAAAACGCAGGCGCCGUCCCACCACCACCUUCUCUCCUCCUCGCCUAAUCCGCCCGCUCCGCCGCUCGCCGCUCGCCGCACCCCAAUGUCGGACGCUUGGCCGCACUCCAAGGUCGAGGCCAUCCGCUAUCUCCUCCCACUCAGGCACUCACGCUUGCCCCGCCGCCGCUCUGGCCUCCCGUCGCAUUCGCCACUACGGAGGAUGCAUUCGCCACUACUGAGGAUGCAGUCGCCUCCAGCCUCCACGGCCCUCCCUCUUCGGCAUCGACUCCGCGCCCAUACGCCGCUGUCGAGGUCACGGCCACCUCCACCCUCCACAGCCCGGGCCCUGAUCCCCUUCGAUCCCUGCCCCAGGCAGACGCCGGCCCGAUUGCCAUUGCUCGCCGGCCGCCUUGGCCAGAUCUGGGGCGCCGGAUCUCGCCGCCCCCGCGCUUAGCGGUUCCGGCGCCAGACGCCAACUUGGUGCCCCAGAAGCGGUCCCAGCACGGUGGCGGUGGCGGAGGUGGGUCGUCUAACGUCGUGGGGGACUCCGAGGAUGCGGUCAUGGUGCAGUGGCUGCAGUUCAUGGGGCUGCAGCACCUCACAGCGUCCUCGGCCGCGGGCGGGAUCGGGGCAGGGGGGCCUCCGCGGCGGCGGCCUCGCACAUCCUCCUCGACGAGAACCUCACGCCCAUGCUCUCCGACUUCGGGCUCGCGCAUGGGCUCCUUAGGCUGCUGGGCGCUAGAGUACGACCGGAGCGGGCAGGCCACCGUAAAGUCUGAUAGUGUACAUCGACGGGGUGGUGCUCGUGCAGCUCAUCUCCGGGAGGAGGGCCGCCGACACCAGCAAGCCUUUGACCAAGCAGAACGUGGUCACCCGGUUUCCAACUUUCUUUUCCACCGAUAGAGAACAUUAGGAAGCCAGUACGCCACCAACCUAGUUCAAAUGGCUCAACAAACAAUUGAGCAAGCUUUGGCCCUUUGUCGAAAAGGCAGCAACCAUGGUCAUCAGGGAUUCUGUGGAACCACUACUCAAUGGAUAUCACCGCCGGGGAUAUCCUCACUGAAGUUCAGCAGACUCUCCCUUGGGACUAUUCCACCGAAAAUAGAAGGCAUUUGGAUUCGUAGUUUUAGGAAAGUGCAGAUUAAAUUGUAUGUGGACUUCCGGUUGGGUGGGGAUCCAAAUAUCAUUCCUGCAGUCAAAAUACCUGUUGCUUCACUUCCCAUUCAGGUUUGCAGACUGUCACGCAACCUAGCCAAAAGCAAUGCGAUCUUUAAUUUCUCGCAUCUUCUACAAUAAUAAGUGCUGAUUUUUUUCUUAAUGAAAGUAACUACACAUAAAAUAUUUUACUAUAUGGAUGAUAUUCAUAAUUCUAGCUUAAUCAGACAAAGUAAAAACAUGUAUCAUCCAAAUUUAUUUUGCUAGACUCCAGUAUAAUUAUAUUAUAAUUCUAGCUUAAGCUGCCCUUGAGUGACCUAGGGAUGGAGUGCAGGAGGUAAACUGUCAGCUGCUGUCGUCGCUGGGCAUGACCAUUUGUUUAUUGAGUUGGUUCAAGUGGGAAAAAUGCUCAAAGUGGCUUCAGUGGAAAAAUGGUGAAAGCAGCUUUUAGUGGAAAAAUGUUAAUUGGCGUUGAUGAAUUCCAGUUAGCACCUUUGCCUUUUGAUUAUGUGUUACCCCUUCAGUUUGUUACCUGUCUCGGUUGAUUUAUGUGUUAUAUUACUUGACAAGUUGGAUUUGGAUUAUUAAUAAUUAGUGAAUUCCUUAGAUCACUCUCUACUCUACUCUUGAGAAGCUACAGGUCAUAGGUCAUAGCAAUCGUCGGCUGCUGCUCCUCUAUUCAUGAGCUAGAUGGCAACUCGCUGCAGGUAAUUUACGUUUGCAGGGAAACAACCAUUUGCAUUGAAAAAUUAUGUAUUGGUAACCAAACAGAGGUAAUUACUGCAGUAUAUGUUUGUAGUCACAUGUAGGUAUGUAACUAAAUUUAGCUCUGUUCAUGUCGGUAUAUUCCAUGUUGGUAAUAAUGUAUAGUCAAAUUAUUUUGCUAAUAUAUUGUCAACUAGCUCUGUUCAUGUCUGAAUAUACCAUGUUGGUAACAAUGCAUAGUCAAAUUAUUUUGCUAAUGUAUUUUCAGUUGUUCGAACGAAACCUUUUCGCCUGAAUGCUUCCUUUCUGCUGCACAUACAAGUUUCCUUAUAUUCAUAUAUUAUUUUUGCUUUUUUACUCUGACAGACAAUUAUAAUCCAUCUUGAAAACAAUUAUUAACUAGCAGUUGCUGAAAGAAAUCCAGAUGUGUUGUUUUAACUUACGAUGUUUAUGCUUUGUCCUCACUAUUGUUAGUGGUAAUGCUACCAUCUAGCAAUGAAAAAUAUUUACUAACAGCUUUGCUCAGUAUUGUCCCCCUAUUUCUUAUAACAAUUCAGAGUAUGACAAAAUCUUUUCCUGUUCAUGGUAGCUAUAUGGAUAUUUGAAGAUAGUUAGCCUUUUGCCGGUUCUCAUAUGGUGGUAUUAUUUGGCCUUCAACUGAGAAAGGUGCCUUCAUACUUUGGGUAGCACGAGGAUGCAGACAAAAUGGGAUUGGGGAUUCAUGCAAAUAUGCUAGCUGUUUUAUACCCAUGUUAAUAUUGCCACUAUGAUAUAUUUCUAACAGCAGUUACUUGCUUUAGAUUGCCGGCUCAUUACUCACGUGUCAAGUAAUUGAUAUGGCAGAGCCGAUUUCCUUCAUGACGACCGUGGAGGCUGACUGCCCAGUGCCCACAAUAUCACCUUCAUUUGCUACAACAGACUCAUUGCAACAAGUUGCCCCUUUUAUUUUAUUGCUUUCCUUGAUUGCCUGGACUUGAACUUCGUCAGAAGGCAAAGCUUUAUGUAGAAAGUGAUGUGAGCUAUUAAUAAUUUAUUUUCCGUUCAAAGUAAUAGCUAUCAGUGUUGUUGAUCUGAGAAAGUUAUGAAAAAAUAAAUCUUCGAAAAAGCAA